UACGUAGGUGGCAGGCGUUGUCCGGAUUUACUGGGCGUAAAGAGCGCGCAGGCGGUCGUCCAAGUCGCGUGUGAAAGCCCCCGGCUCAACUGGGGAGGGUCACGCGAUACUGGUCGACUCGAAGGCAGGAGAGGGUAGUGGAAUUCCCGGUGUAGUGGUGGAAUGCGUAGAUAUCGGGAGGAACACCAGUGGCGAAGGCGGUUGCCUGGAGCUUUGCUGACGCUGAUGCGCGAAAGCGUGGGGAGCGAUCCGG
rnacentral:rRNA from 1 species